GAUGAACGCUGGCGGCGUGCCUAAUACAUGCAAGUCGAGCGAACAGACGAGGAGCUUGCUCCUCUGACGUUAGCGGCGGACGGGUGAGUAACACGUGGAUAACCUACCUAUAAGACUGGGAUAACUUCGGGAAACCGGAGCUAAUACCGGAUAAUAUAUUGAACCGCAUGGUUCAAUAGUGAAAGACGGUUUUGCUGUCUCUUAGAUAUAUAUCCGCGCCGCAUUAGCUAGGUGGUAAGGUAACGGCUUACCAAGGCAACGAUGCGUAGCCGACCUGAGAGGGUGAUCGGCCACACUGGAACUGAGACACGGUCCAGACUCCUACGGGAGGCAGCAGUAGGGAAUCUUCCGCAAUGGGCGAAAGCCUGACGGAGCAACGCCGCGUGAGUGAUGAAGGUCUUCGGAUCGUAAAACUCUGUUAUUAGGGAAGAACAAAUGUGUAAGUAACUAUGCACGUCUUGACGGUACCUAAUCAGAAAGCCACGGCUAACUACGUG
rnacentral:rRNA from 1 species